rnacentral:rRNA from 1 species
CCUACGGGAGGCAGCAGUGGGGAAUAUUGCACAAUGGGGGAAACCCUGAUGCAGCGACGCCGCGUGAGUGAAGAAGUAUUUCGGUACGUAAAGCUCUAUCAGCAGGGAAGAAAAUGACGGUACCUGACUACGACGCCCCGGCUAACUACGUCCCAGCAGCCGCGGUAAUACGUAGGGGGCAAGCGUUAUCCGGAUUUACUGGGUGUAAAGGGAGCGUAGACGGCAGCGCAAGUCGGGAUUGAAAUCCCAUGGCUUAACCAUGGAACUGCUUUGGAAACUGUGCAGCUAGAGUGCAGGAGAGGGAAGCGGAAUUCCUAGUGUAGCGGUGAAAUGCGUAGAUAUUAGGAGGAAUACCAGUGGCGAAGGCGGCCUACUGGACAGUAACUGACGUUGAGGCUCGAAAGCGUGGGGAGCAAACAGGAUUAGAUACCCCUGUAGUC